AGCGCGAUUUACAAGGCAAAAGUUAGAAAGCAUGGCUCCGUCUGUUUCCGAAACAUUGAGAUUUCUAAAGAUAAAGGUAUAUUUGAACAUGUACUGCGCAUUUUCGUUAACUUUUGAUUUCACGCGAUUUUAAAACUUGAUUAACGUGUUAUUCUGCCAUGUAAUUAUAUUGGUAAGAUAGAUUUAUUGACUCUUAUUUGACAGCAAAUCAAAUAUAAAUAUGAAAAUAUCUCUACAAUAUGAUAUUAUUUUACAAUAUUUUACAUUUGCAUAAUAUGUAUAAUUGUUAAAUCGCGAAAAUAAACUUUCUAAAAAGAUAUAGAUGAAAAUAAUGUAUAUUAUCAUAUUAUUCAAUGAUUGGACCAUGAUGAUUAAAUCCCACAGAAUCAUAUAUGCAGGUAAACGUAAUUUAAUCUAACAAUAUGAUACAAUACAAGAGAAUCAUUAUUUCAAAGUGCGAAACAACAUGGUAGACAGUUAGUUUUUAAUCAAGAAGGAAAUAUAUAAUACGGUAUUAUAUAUGUGGUAGUAGAAAAAUCAUGGCAGUGAAAGGACAGUGUAUAAGUAAAGUGACGAGAAGAAGCGUCGAGUCGUGUGUGAGAUCUGCAGGAACACGAGAUAACGGUGUGUAAUGAGGACAUUCUUGAAAGCAGUCGAAAUGCAAUCUCUGCACAGCCGACAAAUUGUCUGAGAACAGUGUCGUUCUCAGAGCUGGGCUAGAGGCUGCCAUCAGCCGUAAUUAAUUGUAAUUACGGAUAAUUAGCGGGAUCCCUAACUCUUAUGUAAUCAGAUCCCACUGUUUCGUAUGCAGAAAUGGAUGAAUGGAUGUACAGAGAAUAACGUCAUUUUGAAAAUUAGGAUAUUAAUUGUUCUGCUGAUUAUUACAUAAAAUAUAAACAAUAUAGAAUUUAAUAGAUGUAAAAUUUUGGCUAUUUUACCAUAUUGAGAAAUUUUUAAUAAUUUUCUGCAUUAUAGAGAAUUUGUAUAACUUUGUUCAAGAAUUCAUUACUUAUAAUUCUUUCAUUAAUCAAUCACUAUAUAAAAGCAUCUUGAAAUCUAUAUUCUUUAAAUUACUUUUAUUUAGCUUCACUAAUUUAAUUUUUGAGCAAAAAUACAUUGCUUUAUCAAUAAUAAUCUUCUAAACUUCGCUCAAUUUUCAAUUCAAAAAUCAUUGGCUUCAUAAAAACUACUAAACUAAAAGAAAACUUCCCAGGAAAGACAAUAAAAAAACAUGAAAGUCGUAAAAAAUUUUUCCUUAAGAAGGAAAAAAUCCAAAAAAGUAAAGGAAUGUUCCAAAGCUAUAAAACUUUGGUAGCUGAAGAAAAGAAACUUCUUUCAAAUGUAUUCUUUAUCGACUAUUCCAGACUAACUAAUGUCGAACACCUGCAGCCAUCCCAUUGAAAUGCUCCCGCCAAACGCUCGAUGGAUCGAUGGAACCUCGAUGAAUUCAUAUCACUUCCCGUCAGAACGGAAACGCCGUGGAUGGAAUAACUGAACGAUUGGAAACGCGUCUACGCUUGUAAGCGAUCGUUUCCUUGCAACUAGGCGGGGCAUCCUCAUCGAUGCAUCCCCGUGCCAAAAAGAUGCGUGUCUUCAAUGUUUAACGAUGGAAUCGAUGGAGUGAAUUCAGAUCACCACGACACGGCUAUCAUUCUAAAUUGAACGCUUUUUCCCUUUUGCGUUCUCUCUCUUGGCAACCGGUCUUGAUCGGAUCGCCAUGGUUCCACGAGCCAAUUUACCAGGCAACAGGUGAUGAGUUAACACGAUACACGGUCUAGAAUGAUAGAGUUUAAUGUAGUGGAACUUGACCUGAGCUGGUUGCCAGGAGAAACAAUAUGAUAGUGAGAAGAGAAAAUAGUUUGGUCGGACAAAUGAGUAAGUAAAUGAUAAAAAUGAUAUCGAAGAAUAAUUGUUGGCGACUGGAUAAAAAUAUUUUCUUUAGUUCGUUGACAUCGAGACGAUCGUGGUCUGUUAAUUUCUUCUAACUGAAAAUAAAUAAUAAGAAUGUUUAAAAGCCAUACUCAUUGAAUAAUUGAUUUAAUUGAAAUACACAAAAAGUCACUUGACCAUUGAAAGAUCAUCGUUUAAACAGUGCCAAUCAAACCUCGGCGAGAAAGUUCA